rnacentral:rRNA from 1 species
GUAGGGAAUAUUGGGCAAUGGAGGCAACUCUGACCCAGCCAUGCCGCGUGCUGGAUGACGGCCCUCUGGGUUGUAAACUGCUUUUAUACGGGAAGAAAAAAUACUACGUGUAGUAUACUGACGGUACCGUAAGAAUAAGGAUCGGCUAACUCCGUGCCAGCAGCCGCGGUAAUACGGAGGAUCCAAGCGUUGUCCGGAUUUAUUGGGUUUAAAGGGUGCGUAGGCGGAUCUUUAAGUCAGUGGUGAAAGCCUGCAGCUUAACUGUAGAAUUGCCAUUGAAACUGAAGAUCUUGAAUGUGGUUAAAGUAGGCGGAAUGUAUCAUGUAGCGGUGAAAUGCUUAGAUAUGAUACAGAACACCGAUAGCGAAGGCAGCUUGCUGAACCAUUAUUGACGCUGAGGCACGAAAGCGUGGGGAGCGAACAGGAUUAGAUACCCUUGUAGUCC